GGAUAGAUGGCCUGCAGUCCUAUACCAAAUGGACAACUAUUCGUUAUGUACUUGUGGAGAUCUGAGAGAAUGUGAUUGGUAUAAGAAACAUGACUAAACUUCCACCUCCGGCAGGGGUCAAAAAAUAUUUUUCUUCAUUGUGGGCAGGAUUCGAACCUGCUCAGGAAGAUCCUAAUGGAUUUCUAGCCCAUCGCCUUAACCACUCGGCCACGACAACGUUGACAGAAGAAAACAGGCUUUUUAGAAGUGAAUGGGCCACCAGGCAUUGCCUACAGAAAGUGAUAAUUUAACAACUGAAAGAUAAUGCAGUAACUCAUUAUAAUGCAAUAACAUGAAAUGUUCCCCUCAUUCAUUUGUUAUUAAGUACAGUUGUUGUCUUAUUUUCCUUGAUCUUUGCUCAGCUCCAGAAGGUCUGCAUUUGAGAGUGUUUAUAGCGCUGCAUUUCUUCCUCAUCUUACCAUGGAUAGGGUUUGGUGCAUUCCGGAGUUCACUUAUGGUGCCACAAAGGAAUUCUGUAGAAGCAGCCUUUAUUUUCAGAAUCUGCAUGCCUGCUGGGAGGAAAAAUAUUACAAUAAACAGAAGAAGCUCAUGGUCCACUAUCUGCUGCUCCAGAGUCAAGGCCAGGUCCUGCACCAUGUCACCACGGAGCACAUGAGCAACUGGCUGGUGUCUCAGGG